CGCGUAGGCGGUUUGAUAAGUCAGAUGUGAAAGUCCACGGCUCAACUGUGGAAGUGCAUUCGAAACUGUCAGACUUGAGUAUCGGAGGGGAAAGUGGAAUUCCCGGUGUAGAGGUGAAAUUCGUAGAUAUCGGGAGGAACACCGGUGGCGAAGGCGACUUUCUGGACGAAUACUGACGCUGAGGCGCGAAAGCGGUGGGGAGCAAAACA
rnacentral:rRNA from 1 species